CCUACGGGAGGCAGCAGUGGGGAAUCUUCCGCAAUGGACGAAAGUCUGACGGAGCAACGCCGCGUGAGUGAUGACGGCCUUCGGGUUGUAAAGCUCUGUUAAUCGGGACGAAAGGCCUUCUUGCGAAUAGUGAGAAGGAUUGACGGUACCGGAAUAGAAAGCCACGGCUAACUACGUGCCAGCAGCCGCGGUAAUACGUAGGUGGCAAGCGUUGUCCGGAAUUAUUGGGCGUAAAGCGCGCGCAGGCGGAUAGGUCAGUCUGUCUUAAAAGUUCGGGGCUUAACCCCGUGAUGGGAUGGAAACUGCCAAUCUAGAGUAUCGGAGAGGAAAGUGGAAUUCCUAGUGUAGCGGUGAAAUGCGUAGAUAUUAGGAAGAACACCAGUGGCGAAGGCGACUUUCUGGACGAAAACUGACGCUGAGGCGCGAAAGCCAGGGGAGCG
rnacentral:rRNA from 1 species